GUUUCACUUGCAAUACCCGCAUACACACAAACAAAACAAAAGCAUUGGUCAUCUUCAUCAUCAGGUUCUUCCUGAUUCAUAACACACACAUACUGAUGAACAUACAUAUGCUUCAUUUCGAAACCUAACAAGCAGAGCAGAUCAUCAAAUCAGGAAAAACAAAGAAUGAAGAAGGAAGAAGAAUUGAAGUCUGAAGAUUGAAGAACAAUAGCUUGCAGCGAUUCAGCGAGACAGCAACUCAAACAGAAGAAUAGAAGAGACGAUUGGAGAAGGGCAUAUAAUUGAGAAGGAUAAUGGAAAAAGAACGGAAGUUUUAUGUCGUAUCCGCGUAUCGUCCUUUGAUUGAAGAAUCCCUCUACACUUACGCGUGAUUUUUUGGAAACUAUUACCUUGGAUCAAAAGUAAAGGGGCCCCUUACAAUUGGGGGCCCUAAGCCCUACCUUCACUUAUAAAACAUUAACGCCGGCCCUGCUUAUUAUUAGUACAAAAGAUACUUAACUUGUUAUAUUUUGUGUUGUAGCGGUAAAAGACAUGAUCGGGAUCAAAAAGGAAGCAAAUUGGGAGCUGGAAGCUAGGAAUUUCGACUAAGGCAAAAAGAAAAAGGAAAGAUGAAAAACCACAGUGUGAUGACCCUCACCACGACGUGGUAAAAUGAGAAAUCCCGAUUAUGUUAUGGCUCGUCGGAUAUGCGAUUUUUACACCAACCACAGUGUGGUGGCCAUUAACACGCCGUGGUGCACCAAUUUUCGAAAACUAUAUAUAGAUCGACUUUUCUCUCAAACAUGUUGGAUUCCGGAAGUAAUUAUCGACUUUUGGAGGCAAGAAACGUUCCUUGGGAGAUAUGGAGUAUAGAUUUCGGUUAUUAGCUUCAUUUUUUAGAGAUCUAAGGCAAUGUUACUCUUUUUUACUUGUUUACUUUGAUUUUGUCAUGACUAUCAAAGUGAAUCUUGUUUUUACAUGUUUGUUUGUUGAAGUUAUGGGCUAAACACCCUAACUUUCAUUUAGACUGGAUUACUUGCGUUAUUAUGAGUUGAUUUUAUAGAUUGGAUUAAGCUAGUUGAUUAUUUGUUAUGUUAGCUUGUUAAAGAACCUCUCUAUAUUUAUGAUAACUACUUUUAUGUUUA